GAACAAAUUUAAACAGUUAACAGGGCUUUUAGAUUUGCAAGGUUCUCUGUUGUUUUCAGUUUCAUGUCUGCUUAGGUUUGAUGAUUCAACAGAUGUAGCCCUGAGGUUAGUUUUAUAAGGUGUACUUUGGGUGGAUUCAUGAAUGAUUUUGCCAAGCUCAUGACAUUUAUAAGAUUUCACUUGGAUAUUCACAUGCUCAUGGACAAUAUGCUGAAGGUCUUGAUCCAAGAUGUUCUUAUAUUUAGGACACAUCCCAUGGGUCUCUGAAAAAAAAAUGUAUUUAGAUAUGACAGGGAUUAGUGGAUGAGUAUGACAAUAUCCCAUGUCCCUGAAAAAAAUUUUAAUGUAAAUUAGUGAUUCUCAAGAGUAGAGCUCUCAAAAAAAAAAAAAGUCUUUCCUGUUUCACAAUCACAUCAUGGAUGCUUAGAACAACCUCAAAUCUCAUGUAUAUCAAAUGACCAUAAACAAUAGCCUCUAUUUCUUAUUUAAACACUGUGCUUUGCAGAAUGUAAAAAGAAUAGGUUAUGGAGCAUUAAAAGACGUUGAGAAAGGAGCGCGCUGAAGGAUCACAUUAAAAAAAGUUUCUCUAUUUUCUUGUUUAUGUUUUGUGAGAGUAACACAGUCUAGCUUGGGUCAGCUAGUAAGUCAUUAUGUAAUCCACAUUGGUAUGGAACUCAUGAUAUAAAACCUAUGCUGUACCAGGACUAAACAUAGAAAUCACAGGUCUAAAACUGAAUAAAUAAGUAACAACAAAAAUUCUCAAAACCAACAGCUCAUUUUCUAUUUAGAAACUUGUGCAUUUUUAAAAUUUACAAGCAACCAAAGACUUUAACGCAACAGUAAAAUUAGAAUGUUACAACAAUUACAGGCGUGGCAAUAUAUUUUCUUGCUCUGAAUAUUCAAUUGUUUUUGAACUCUGAUGUUUUUAUUAAAAGUACAUACAAUGUUUUAAGAGAUUACACCACUGGAUCCUCUUCUAAAGAAUGGAGAGAAAUGUAAAGGAAACACAGCGAACAAGUUAUGUUGGUAUCCAGAAUUUCCCUUAUUCUGGGAGUCUCUAGACAUGUCAAAGCAUUUAUAUAAGCACACACAGCAAGUAAAUUCAAAGAAUGAGUCAGGAAUUCUGCAAAAAGACUAUGCUUACCCACAAAAAACAGAUUAUUGUAAUUCUCCAACAUCACAUCCAUGUACAGUGCCCUCUGAGCACAAUCAAGACAUUCCCAUUCCUCCUGUGAGAAGUCCACUGCCACAUCCUUGAAUGUUAACUGACCCUGUAAUGGAAAAAUACCUGUUCAUCAUAUGCUCCUGGACAAAAGUGUUUUCCUGGAUAAAAAAGACCUAAAGAAUAAGAGGCACAUUGUGAUAAAAAUGAGUCAUGGGAAAUAUUUGAGGACAAACAACAUCUUCUAGAAGUGCUAUAGAAAUGUAUCAGAAGUUAAGCAUUGUUGCUUUAUGAGGCAAUGCAUAGGAUGACAUACUAUACUGAGUCCAUUCCUAAGGUCUCUCUCCUUCAUGAAUUUUCUGGUGUUUUCUAAGACCUUAGCAACAGAUGAAGAUGCCACCAUCAUUCAUUUUAAAAUUUGUAUGCAGUUUGGAUCCUAUAAUUCUAAAUUGUUUCCCAGCACCCACAUGAACUAUACAGCAGAUUUUUAUUUCUAAUCCAUCAAAAUCUAAUGCUCUCUUCUAAACUCAACAGGCUGGAGGAAUAUACAGCACAUAUGCAUAUAUUCGGGCAAAUAUACCAACAUACAUAAAAGAAAAUGAAAUUUAAUUUUAAUAAAGGAUGUUACCU
rnacentral:lncRNA from 1 species